rnacentral:rRNA from 1 species
UGGGGAAUAUUGCACAAUGGGCGCAAGCCUGAUGCAGCGACGCCGCGUGAGGGAUGACGGCCUUCGGGUUGUAAACCUCUUUCAGCAGGGAAGAAGCGAAAGUGACGGUACCUGCAGAAGAAGCGCCGGCUAACUACGUGCCAGCAGCCGCGGUAAUACGUAGGGCGCGAGCGUUGUCCGGAAUUAUUGGGCGUAAAGAGCUUGUAGGCGGUUUGUUAAGUCAGAUGUGAAAUCCCCGGGCUCAACCUGGGAACUGCAUCUGAUACUGGCAAGCUUGAGUCUCGUAGAGGGGGGUAGAAUUCCAGGUGUAGCGGUGAAAUGCGUAGAGAUCUGGAGGAAUACCGGUGGCGAAGGCGGCCCCCUGGACGAAGACUGACGCUCAGGUGCGAAAGCGUGGGGAGCAAACAGG